rnacentral:rRNA from 1 species
GACGAACGCUGGCGGCGUGCUUAACACAUGCAAGUCGAACGGAAAGGCCCUGCUUUUGUGGGGUGCUCGAGUGGCGAACGGGUGAGUAACACGUGAGUAACCUGCCCUUGACUUUGGGAUAACUUCAGGAAACUGGGGCUAAUACCGGAUAGGAGCUCCUGCUGCAUGGUGGGGGUUGGAAAGUUUCGGCGGUUGGGGAUGGACUCGCGGCUUAUCAGCUUGUUGGUGGGGUAGUGGCUUACCAAGGCUUUGACGGGUAGCCGGCCUGAGAGGGUGACCGGCCACAUGGGGACUGAGAGACGGCCCAGACUCCUACGGGAGGCAGCAGUGGGGAAUAUUGCACAAUGGGCGGAAGCCUGAUGCAGCAACGCCGCGUGCGGGAUGACGGCCUUCGGGUUGUAAACCGCUUUCGCCUGUGACGAAGCGUGAGUGACGGUAAUGGGUGAAGAAGCACCGGCUAACUACGUG